rnacentral:rRNA from 1 species
UACGUAGGGGGCAAGCGUUGUCCGGAAUCAUUGGGCGUAAAGAGCGUGUAGGCGGCCCGGUAAGUCCGCUGUAAAAGUCCAGGGCUCAACCCUGGAAAGCCGGUGGAAACUGUCGGGCUAGAGUCCGGAAGAGGCGAGUGGAAUUCCUGGUGUAGCGGUGAAAUGCGCAGAUAUCAGGAGGAACACCAAUGGCGAAGGCAGCUCGCUGGGCCUGACCUGACGCUGAGGAGCGAAAGCGUGGGGAGCGAACAGG